AGAUUGAACGCUAGCGGGAUGCUUUACACAUGCAAGUCGAACGGCAGCGCGGACUUCGGUCUGGCGGCGAGUGGCGAACGGGUGAGUAAUAUAUCGGAACGUGCCCAGUAGCGGGGGAUAACUACGCGAAAGCGUGGCUAAUACCGCAUACGCCCUACGGGGGAAAGGGGGGGAUCGCAAGACCUCUCACUAUUGGAGCGGCCGAUAUCAGAUUAGCUAGUUGGUGAGGUAAAGGCUCACCAAGGCGACGAUCUGUAGCUGGUUUGAGAGGACGACCAGCCACACUGGGACUGAGACACGGCCCAGACUCCUACGGGAGCAGCAGUGGGGAAUUUGGACAAGUGGGCGCAAGCCUGACUCCAGCAAUGCCGCGUGCAGGAUG
rnacentral:rRNA from 1 species